CCUACGGGAGGCAGCAGUGGGGAAUAUUGCACAAUGGGGGAAACCCUGAUGCAGCGACGCCGCGUGAGCGAUGAAGGAUCUCGGGAUGGUAAGCUCUAUUAGUAGGGAAGAAGAUGACGGUACCUGACUCAGAAGCCCCGGCUAACUACGUGCAAGCAGCCGCGGUAAUACGUAGGUGGCAAGCGUUAUCCGGAUUUACUGGGUGUAAGGGGAGCGUAGACGGGGGUGCAAGCCAGAUGUGAAAGCCCGGGGCUCAACCCCGGGACUGCAUUUGAAACUGUGAGGCUGGAGUAACGGAGAGGCAGGCGGAAUUCCUGGUGUAGCGGUGAAAUGCGUAGAUAUUAGGAGGAACACCAGUGGCGAAGGCGGCCUGCUGGACGAUGACUGACGUUGAGGCUCGAAAGCGUGGGGAGCAAACAGGAUUAGAUACCCCAGUAGUC
rnacentral:rRNA from 1 species